AACGUAGGUGGCGAGCGUUAUCCGGAUUUACUGGGCGUAAAGGGCGCGUAGGUGGUGGCUUAAGCGUGCGGUGAAAGCUCGGGGCUCAACUCCGAGUCGGCCGUGCGAACUGGGCUCACUGGAGCAUAGUAGAGGCAGGUGGAAUUCCGGGUGUAGCGGUGGAAUGCGUAGAGAUCCGGAAGAACACCGGUGGCGAAGGCGGCCUGCUGGGCUAUGGCUGACACUGAGGCGCGACAGCGUGGGGAGCAAACAGG
rnacentral:rRNA from 1 species